ensembl:rRNA 5S_rRNA 5S ribosomal RNA
AUCUAAGGCCAUAUCACCCUGAACGCACCCAAUCUCGUCUGAUCUCAAAAGCUAAGCAGGAUCAGGCCUGGUUAAUACUUGGAUGGAAGACAGAUCUUCAGAAGAGACUGCUCAGAGCCAAGCAGUUUGGACA